UUUUUUUGGACAGGAUUUCUCUGUGUAGCCCUGGCUGUCCUGGAACUCACUCUGUAGACCAGGCUGGCCUUGAACUCCACCUGCCUCUUCCUUCCAAGUGAUGGAAUUAAAGGCAUGCACCACUACUGCCAGGCCUUUUUUCACUAUUCUUAUGUCCUUAUAUUUGUAAUUUUGUAUCGGGUAGAUAAGUUUUCUCUCUAAGUUUUGUCAAGAAUUGUUCACUUAUUUGUUUGUUUUUUUUGUAAGAGACCUUCCUGGAGAUAUGUCUUGAAUACUGCAUGGAUGUGUGGCAUUGCCUUUGAAGUAAGUUCUGGGUAAGGAGCUAUCCACCUGAGUGCAUUCAGCCGACCAGACCAGAAGUCACACCUUUACAGAAAACUGACCCUCCCAUCCUCAGAAGACACUGGGGCUCAUGAAAACCUACCCACUCCAUGCUGGAAUGUUGUUUGGCUUUUGCAAGUCUUAUGCAGGCAACCACAGCUGCUAUUGAUUUUAUGGAGACAGAAAUUAUCUCUUAAUACAUCAAGAAAGUCACUGCAAAGGACUGAGGGGAAACCAUAUGGCAUCCCUGGUUUGCAUCUUGAACGUGCUAACUGACCUUUGUUUUGAGCCAAACCUUUCAGUGACUU
rnacentral:lncRNA from 1 species